AGAAUCAACGCUGGCGGCGUGCCUAACACAUGCAAGUCGAACGAGAAAGGGGUAGCAAUACCCUGAGUAAAGUGGCGCACGGGUGAGUAACACGUGACUAACCUACCCUGGAGUGGGGGAUAACUGAGGGAAACCUUAGCUAAUACCGCAUAACACCUACGGGUCAAAGGAGCAAUUCGCUUAAGGAGGGGUCGCGGCCGAUUAGUUAGUUGGCGGGGUAAUGGCCCACCAAGACUAUGAUCGGUAUCC
rnacentral:rRNA from 1 species